GAGAGAGAGAGAGAGAGAUAGGGGGUGCGGGAGGUAGAGUGGGAGAGAGAUUUAGAGGCGAUUUCGCCGCGGUGAGGAGUGCGGCUCGCCGUGGCGGAGAUUUCGUCGUGCCGGUGCUGAUCUGUGUCGUGUUUGAGUUUGUUUUUCGCCGGUGAGGAGCUCCUGCUCAACGGAUUUUUCCACUGUGUCGAGUUAUUCGUCGUUGAAGAUUCAUUUGGCCAGUUUUUUUUUGUUUUUUUUCAUGUUCAUCACUGCCUCCUCCUCUAUUUUUUCGCCAUGCCGGUGCCGAUCUGUUCGUUGACAUCGUUUUUGUCGGUGAGGAGGGUAUGAUGUACCACGUUUUCCACUGUGUCGAGCUGGUCAUAGACGUAGGUUUUUUUUUUGGCGAUUUGUUCAUGUCGUUCUCCAUUUUUUCCUUCCAAUAGAUCUAGCUUGGACAUGCACCAUUUAUGUUUGAUUUUUUUGAUUUUUUGUGAAUAGGUUGUGUUCUAGAUUCAUUUGUUUUUGUUUUUUUCAUGUUCCUCCCCACGUCCUUCUUCAUUUAUUUCUUCGAAUAGAUCUAGCUAGGACUUGCACAAAUUAUGUAACCCCAUCUCAUUUGCUACUUCCCUAACCUAUUUGUUUUUUUAGAUCUGCUUUGUUUCAUGUUUUCAAUGCUAUUUUUAUUUUUUUUUCAUGUUGUUUAAUGUUCGAUUUGCAGCUGUUUUCUGGUUUUUUUUUUGUCUUACUUUGUGUAUUUGUUAUAUGAGGCGCAGAUCUGCUUAAUUCAUCGAAGAUGGGUAAUGAUAAGGACAUUGAGGAUAUUUUGUCUGAUUCUAUUUCUUCUGAGUCUGAUAGUUCUACAAAUGAUGAAUGCUAUUCUGAUAGUGAUCUAUAUGCCUGUUUCUUAAGAAAAUUCAAAACAAGUUAGUGUCUGACAUGACAAUCUACCUUAUAUCAAUCUCAUUUGACAGAAAUGUAGAUCAAUAUUCAGAAGAUUUGAGUUAAGUUUUGUGAUUUAUUCUGAUGAAGAUUCAUAUCAAGAAGGUUCAAAGAAGAUUCAGAACAAGAAUCAGAAGACUAAACCAAAGAAGAAUGAAUUUUAAUUUGGAUGCAAUUUGAAGAUCAAGAAACAAAUGAACAAGUCACUGGAUUCAGAAGAAGAAGAUUUGUUAAAUAGAUUUGAUGCAUCAACCAGAUUCAGAAGAUUCUUUUUCUUCUUGAAUAGUGUUUUGGGUUAUCUAUCUUUGUUAGUGUUUUGGGUUUUGUAUAUAUUGUUAGUUAAGUUGCUGGGCUAAAUUUGAGUCAGUUCUUUUGUUUUGGGCCUUUAAAUUGACUACAGUGUUAAUUUGGGCUUUCAUUUGAUGUAAAUUUUGUAUUUGGGCUCAAUCUGGACUAUUUGAUUGGGUCGAGUUGUAUUUGAGCCCUUCGAAAAUGGGCUUCCAAACCUAUUUGUUAUUGUUUAUCUAUGUAUUUUUAAUUUUUAUUUGUCAAAUAAUAGUAGCUGUUGGAUCU
rnacentral:sRNA from 1 species